GUGUCACCAGAGAGGAAAAGAAUAUCCUUGCUGUGCCAAGAAAGAAAAGACCAUGGAUCUACUAGUUGCAGAUUUCAGCAGUAAUGCCAAGGGGGCAAGAAGUGACCAGCAGAACAAUUAGGCCAUGGCAACAGAAGCCAACUACAACCCAUGUUCCAAUCUAUGACCUCCCUCUCCUGCUGGUACAAGGAUAUGUAUUCCUUAGAGCAAAGGAUGCAAUGUCAAGCAAGUUGUGAUACCUCAACUAUCUACAAUUUAACACCAAGGAAAGAACACUGUUUGGAGAAAUGAGAAAGAUUAUCAUCAGUGUCUUUCAGAAGUCAUCAAAAGAAGAAAAGGAGAAAAGAGAGGAGAAAGCAGAAAGAUCUGGAGUCUGGGAAGUUCAAGAGCAUGGCACCAACAUCUGGCAAGGGCUUUCAUUCUGCAUCAUCUCAUGGAGGAAAAUAAAAAGGAGGCUGGAUGCUCCUGUGAAGUACGUCUUUUAUCUACUUGCUAUCUUUGCAAUUCCUUCAUGCUACAAUGAGAGAUAGAGUUUAAACCUGAAAACAUUCUUGGAAAAGGAAUCUUCAUUAAUUCAAAUAUACCACAAGUGUCUUCCAGAGUCCUCACGAGUAUCAGAGAAGGCAUAAUCUGUACACGUGGCUUCAUUUAAAAUGAAAAUAUCAAGCAGUGUCAUUUUCACAAGUAUCCCCACACUGUCUGAGGCUGAAAAGAAGAGUGUAGCUAUGCACACUGCAGUGAGAAGAAAAUUUCAGCUCAAUUGGAGGAUGUAAAGAUUGAAAUACCACUGCUCCUAGUUCUGAUGCAAAAUUGAAAAGAGUGCACUGGGUCUUCAAAUGGCAUAUUGACAAGGAGAAAGAGGAAAGGAUGCCCCAGGACAGCCUGGGGGUCAAGGCUGGGCUCAGGCAUGCCUGGACAAGCCAUGCAAGUUGUCUCCGGACUUGAACCACGUAUCAGAGGAGCUAUUUGAGGAGCCACAUCAGCAUACCUGCUUCUGUGGGCCCCCAGGCUGUGGUGCUCAGCCCUUGCACUAUGAAACAUUUUUUUUUUCCAGAAGCCAAAGCUUUGAGCAUCUCCUCCCAUGUAGAGAGUGUAUAUGUUUACGUCCAUGUCUUUCGCCAUGUGAACGCAUGCAACCACCACCUCAAAUAUCAUAAAUCCUCUCUCUCCCCCUUUCUGUCUGCCUGUUUAUCUACAAUCUGUCUAUUUAAAUUCUUUUUAAACAAGAAGGGAAUAUCUUUAUGCCUGUUUGUAGGGAUAUUCUACAUCCAUCUGUUAUUUACAUCAUUCGUUUUCCUGAGGUGUCUCCAACAAAUCCUGGCUGGAUGCACUGUAUGUGUUAUUAAUAAAACAGCUGUAAAAAUAUUAA
rnacentral:lncRNA from 1 species